UACGGGAAGGACGAGUGUUAUUCACAAUGACUAGGCGUAAAGGGUGCGUAGGCGGUCGGGUAAGUCUGAUGUGAAAUCUCACAGCUUAACUGUGAAACUGCAUUGGAUACUAUCCGGCUAGAGGAAUGGAGGGGAGACUGGAAUACUUGGUGUAGCAGUGAAAUGCGUAGAUAUCAAGUGGAACACCAGUGGCGAAGGCGAGUCUCUGGACAUUUCCUGACGCUGAGGCACGAAAGCCAGGGGAGCAAACGGG
rnacentral:rRNA from 1 species